UAUUGACAAUCUUUGUAAUAUCUGUCGAUUUAUUGAUUGUUUUGCUCUUGUGCAAAAUGAACAAUGAUGAUAAAUCAACGCCUCUACAGAUUUUCAUGGACGUCAUUUCAUUAUUAAAUUAAUUAAAUGUUGACGACUUUCAAGUUUAUGGAAGGAAUUUUAAACUUCUCUCCGCUAAUAUUUUUGCCCAAAAUAUUGCAAGUGAGGUCUAACUCUUGAUUAACAAUAAUAGUUUUUCGCAUAAAUGAAUUUACAUUAUUCUGUUCGUAUACAAAAACCAUUUCAGAUACACCAAAGAACUUUUUAUCCAUAGAUAAGGUUACUUUCUGUAAUACUUUUGCCAAUUUGAUGGCAAGUUUAAGUUCCAUGUAUCUAGUUCGCAAAAUAAAAUGCUGGCAGUAUUAAAUUGUUCUUUAGAUGUUUGAUUCAAUUUAUUCUAUAAAUAAAAGUGACACCUUAGGUAUGUAUUUUUAAAUAUUUUAAAAAGUAGUAUCAGUUUACUUUUUGAUGUACGAGGAUAUUAAAAUCAGAAGUACUGCUGCCAUUUAAAGAAGAAUCAUUACAAUUAAUAGAAUAGUUAUGUUCUAUCAAAACCCUGGAACUCAGCAUGAGAUCAUUACAUGGAUCUUCAAUAUUCAUUAUUGGUUCACAAAUUAAUUCCUAAAAGUUUAUUGAAAAGAUACAAUUCAAAAAUGAGGUUGGACAAGUUAAUGAAAGUCAACUAAUUACUAGUACUAACUAUUAAUUUCAUUAUUAAAUAAACUUUUUUGAUCACAAUAUUUUUAAUUAAUUUUGUAUAAUUCAUUGUCUUGUAAAUAGUUAAAAGCUAAUUUGUACAUAUUUAAUUAACUUAGAAAAAUUAAUAAUACAUUCAAAUAUAGUACAAAUUAUAAAAUGUAUUAUUUGUUGUAUCAUCUGUACACUGAGUAAAUAACUUAGGUUCCCCAGUCCUUAUAUAAUAACUAGUUUGUUAAAAUCUCAGCUUUAUUGAUUCAUAAAUACUAAUUAUUUAAAAAAUAAAAAUUUACUUCUUUAUCACCAUCACAUGUUAAAGGUGCUCUGUCGGUAGUAGUACUAGUAGUGUCUAAUGGGUUGUAGGGUUGAAUUAAAUUGUCCUCCUAUUAAUAUUGGUUAAGAUUACAAAUACUUCCAUACUACAUUUUUUAUCUACUUAUAGUUAUACUAUAACUACCUUAUUUUCUGAAAAUUUCAAUAGUUUUCGAGCCGAAAAUGGUACUGCAUUUGGUUUUAAACGAGGCCGUACUAAUGUAGUCUAAAUAUUUUAUUAAUAAAUGUAAUAUAAUAAUUACAUCAAAAAUUUAUUUUAUAUUAAAGAAAAGCUAAUAAUUGAGGUUUAAAUAAUUAAUAAAUUAAUAAAAUAAAAAUACUAAAAUACUUA